AGGACGAACGCUGGCGGCGUGCCUAAUACAUGCAAGUCGAACGGUCUUUCUAUGGAAGCUUGCUUCCACUGAGAAGAUAGUGGCGAACGGGUGAGUAACACGUGGGUAACCUGCCCAUAAGAGGGGGGAUAACAUCCGGAAACGGGUGCUAAUACCGCAUAGUUUUCUUGAUCGCAUGAUCGGGAAAGGAAAGACGGCCUUUGUGCUGUCGCUUAUGGAUGGACCCGCGGCGUAUUAGUUAGUUGGUGAGGUAACGGCUCACCAAGACGAUGAUACGUAGCCGACCUGAGAGGGUGAUCGGCCACAUUGGGACUGAGACACGGCCCAAACUCCUACGGGAGGCAGCAGUAGGGAAUCUUCCGCAAUGGACGAAAGUCUGACGGAGCAACGCCGCGUGAGUGAAGAAAGGUUUUCGGAUCGUAAAACUCUGUUGUCAGAGAAGAACAAGUUGGAGAGUAACUGCUCCAGCCUUGACGGUAUCUGACCAGAAAGCCACGGCUAACUACGUGCCAGCCGCUGC
rnacentral:rRNA from 1 species